rfam:Anisakis simplex genome assembly, scaffold: ASIM_scaffold0000436
GUUGGCUACGGGGAUAUGACCCCGCACACAGCGUUAGGUCGAUUGGUUGGCAGUCUUUGUGCUGUUAUGGGUGUUCUAACAAUUGCACUACCAGUGCCUGUUAUUGUUAGCAAU